rnacentral:rRNA from 1 species
UACGAAGGGGGCUAGCGUUAUUCGGAAUCACUGGGCGUAAAGCGCGUGUAGGCGGUCUGAAAAGUCAGAGGUGAAAGCCCGGAGCUUAACUCCGGAAUUGCCUUUGAAACUGCCAGACUAGAAUUUGGUAGAGGAUAGUGGAAUUCCUAGUGUAGAGGUGAAAUUCGUAGAUAUUAGGAGGAACACCAGUGGCGAAGGCGACUAUCUGGGCCAAUAUUGACGCUAAGACGCGAAAGCGUGGGGAGCAAACAGG